GUAGCUGGUCUSAGAGGAUGGCCAGCCACACUGGAACUGAGACACGGCCCAGACUCCUACGGGAGGCAGCAGUGGGGAAUAUUGGACAAUGGGGGCAACCCUGAUCCAGCAAUGCCGCGUGUGUGAAGAAGGCCUGAGGGUUGUAAAGCACUUUCAGUGGGGAGGAGGAUUGAUAGGUUAAGAGCUAAUUAAUUGGACGUUACCCACAGAAGAAGCACCGGCUAACUCCGUGCCAGCAGCCGCGGUAAUACGGAGGGUGCGAGCGUUAAUCGGAAUUACUGGGCGUAAAGGGUGCGUAGGUGGKUUAUUAAGUUAUCUGUGAAAUCCCUGGGCUUAACCUGGGCAGGUCAGAUAAGACUGGUGGACUCGAGUAUGG
rnacentral:rRNA from 1 species